rnacentral:rRNA from 1 species
UACGGGGGGGGCAAGCGUUGUUCGGAAUUACUGGGCGUAAAGGGCUCGUAGGCGGCUCCUUAAGUCAGACGUGAAAUCCCUCGGCUUAACCGGGGAACUGCGUCUGAGACUGAAGAGCUUGAAUCCGGGAGAGGGAUGCGGAAUUCCAGGUGUAGCGGUGAAAUGCGUAGAUAUCUGGAGGAACACCGGUGGCGAAGGCGGCAUCCUGGACCGGUAUUGACGCUGAGGAGCGAAAGCCAGGGGAGCAAACGGG